rnacentral:tRNA from 1 species
GUUGCUUUGGCUGAGUGGUUAAGGCGUGUGCCUGCUAAGUACAUGGGGUUUCCCGCGAGAGAGAAUCUCUCAGGCAACG